rnacentral:misc_RNA from 1 species
UACGGAGGGAGCUAGCGUUGUUCGGAAUUACUGGGCGUAAAGAGUACGUAGGCGGUUAUUCAAGUCAGAGGUGAAAGCCUGGAGCUCAACUCCAGAACUGCCUUUGAAACUAGAUAGCUAGAAUUAUGGAGAGGUUAGUGGAAUUCCGAGUGUAGAGGUGAAAUUCGUAGAUAUUAUGUAGAACACCAGUUGCGAAGGCGGCUUUCUGGAUCAACACUGACGCUGAGGCGCGAAAGCGUGGGGAGCAAACAGG